rnacentral:rRNA from 1 species
UACGUAGGGUGCGAGCGUUGUCCGGAAUUAUUGGGCGUAAAGAGCUUGUAGGCGGUUUGUCGCGUCUGCUGUGAAAAUCCGGGGGCUCAACCCCGGACUUGCAGUGGGUACGGGCAGACUAGAGUGUGGUAGGGGAGGACUGGAAUUCCUGGUGUAGCGGUGAAAUGCGCAGAUAUCAGGAGGAACACCGAUGGCGAAGGCAGGUCUCUGGACCACUACUGACGCUGAGAAGCGAAAGCAUGGGGAGCGAACAGGAUUAGAUA